rnacentral:rRNA from 1 species
GUCACGCUGUGACUAGCAUAUCAAUAAGCGGAGGAAAAGAAACUAACAAGGAUUCCCCUAGUAACGGCGAGUGAAGCGGGAAGAGCUCAAAUUUGAAAUCUUAAAGGGUUUCCCUUUACGAAUUGUAGUUUAAAGAAGUGUUUUCUGUUGAGGUUUUGGUAAAAGUUCUUUGGAAUAGGACAUCAUAGAGGGUGAGAAUCCCGUAUUUGACCUUUACUUUCAACUUUGUGAUACAUUUUCAAAGAGUCGGAUUGUUUGGGAAUGCAGUCCAAAAUGGGUGGUAAAUUUCAUCUAAAGCUAAAUAUUGGCGAGAGACCGAUAGCGAACAAGUACCGUAGAGGGAAAGAUGAAAAGAACUUUGAAAAGAGAGUUAAACAGUACGUGAAAUUGUCAAAAGGGAAGCGUUUGACACCAGUGUUGUUUUUCUGAAAAUCAAUUAAAGAACAGUUUAUGCUAAGUUGUUUAGACUUUAUCAGCUAACUGUUUAGUUUUGAGCUUUUCUUUAAUGCACUUUUCAGUUAACAAGUCAACAUCAAUUUCUUUUGCUGUAAAAAAGCUUGAGGAAGGUGGCUUGAGAUUCGUCUUAAGUGUUUAUAGCCUCUUGCCUAUGCAGUCGGAGAGAUUGAGGUCUGCAGCGUAGAUCCUUCGGGGCUAAAUGCAUUUGUGCUAAGUUAUAGCAUUUUCAUAGACAACUUGUUGACUAUGAUUUGUCUUGUAGCUUACUCGCUUAUGUUAUUUUACCUACGCUUAGGAUGUUGACAGCAGUAUAGACUGU